rnacentral:lncRNA from 1 species
AGCUCUCCCUGAAUUAUCCAUCAUGAAAACAAGGAGUAUGAACACAGAGUAAGACAACAUGGGAGAGUAGAAGAGAGAAAAUCAAAUAAGGAAUCUCAAAUGCAGCCUCUCCCUUGCCUCCCAACCAUUGUGAACACAAAUCUCAAUAAACAUUGUGGUGAAUAAGUACCUAGUCAAUGUGAACAGAAAGGGAAAGGAAAAAAGGAAAGAAAGACACAAAGGAAAUAUGUUUCUCGUCCUCAAGGAAUUUCCAUUUAGUGGGCAUUAAACAUUCUGAUUUAUAAACA